rnacentral:rRNA from 1 species
CUACGGGGCGCACCAGUGGGGAAUAUUGCACAAUGGGCGCAAGCCUGAUGCAGCCAUGCCGCGUGUAUGAAGAAGGCCUUCGGAUUGUAAAGUACUUUCAGCGGGGAGGAAGGGAGUAAAGUUAAUACCUUUGCUCAUUGACGUUACCCGCAGAAGAAGCACCGGCUAACUCCGUGCCAGCAGCCGCGGUAAUACGGAGGGUGCAAGCGUUAAUCGGAAUUACUGGGCGUAAAGCGCAGGCAGGCGGUUUGUUAAGUCAGAUGUGAAAUCCCCGGGCUCAACCGGGAACUGCAUCUGAUACUGGCAAGCUUGAGUCUCGGAGAGGGGGGUAGAAUUCCAGGUGUAGCGGUGAAAUGCGUAGAGAUCUGGAGGAAUACCGGUGGCGAAGGCGGCCCCCUGGACGAAGACUGACGCUCAGGUGCGAAAGCGUGGGGAGCAAACAGGAUUAGAUACCCCAGUAGUC